rnacentral:tRNA from 1 species
GCUCUAAUGGCGCAAUGGCUAGCGCGUGGGAUUGCAGUUUGUCAAUUAUCCCAAGGUUGCUUGUUCGAAUCAGGCUUAGAGCU